rfam:Chryseobacterium indologenes strain CI_885 contig_12, whole genome shotgun sequence.
GAAACGUUAGUUCAAUGGAAGAACGCUGGCUUUCCUCGCCGGAGGAUGCGGGUUCAAAUCCCGCACGUUUCA